AUUGAACGCUGGCGGCAGGCCUAACACAUGCAAGUCGAACGAGUGGCGGAAGGGUGAGUAAUGUCUGGGAAACUGCCCGAUGGAGGGGGAUAACUACUGGCAGCUGUAGCUAAUACCGCAUACCAUCGGAUGUGCACAGAUGGGAUGAGCGAGGGGGUGGGGUAACGGCUCACCUAGGCGACGAUCCAUAGCUGGUCUGAGAGGAUGACCAGCCACACUGGAACUGAGACACGGUCCAGACUCCUACGGGAGGCAGCAGUGGGGAAUAUUGCACAAUGGGCGAAAGCCUGAUGCAGCCAUGCCGCGUGUAUGAAGAAGGCCUUUGGGUUGUAAAGUACUUUCAGCGAGGAGGCGUUACUCGCAGAAGAAGCACCGGCUAACUCCGUGCCAGCAGCCGCGGUAAUUC
rnacentral:rRNA from 1 species